ensembl:lncRNA
AAGGGGUUCGAGGCCUAGGCAGGAGGCCGGCCUGUGACCACGGCUGCUCCUGUGAGCUCUGAAGCGACCAGCCUGGGGCAGGUGCCACCCCGCUGGGAGCCCUGGUGUUCAGUCCUCAGGGAAGCGCCAUGGUAACUUCCCAGCUCCUCCGUGGGUGCCCUUGUCCGGACGCCUGACUGCAGUGUCUCUGCUCCCUCCCACAGCGCGGAGCCGGUGCCCACAUUGCAGCCCUGUCACCCUGUGCGGAAGUGCAGGGCCCUCGGGAAGAACCCGGCGCGGGACCCGGAGCCUGUUCGAGAUCUUCAGGCCCCGGUCGGCGGCAGCGUAGAUGGCUCGACUCCCCGCCGGCAUCCGCUUCAUCGCCUCCUUCUCCAGGGACCAGUGCAGCCCUGCGGGGAGCCCUCCUCGUCCUGCCUGCCGCUGCCCGGGGACAGCUCUCUGCCUGGUGCCCGGGCUCAGCCGCCCUCUCAACCCGGCAGCCGGGCCGCGUGCCAGUGUUGUCCCGUCCUGGGCCUCGGGCGAGCUGGCCGGCAUCACUCACUCUGCUCAUUGAGGUCAGUGUCGUAUUUAUGUCCGCUCUGCGUGCGCACUUCUGAAAAGUCGCAUAGAAACGAAACAGCCAAAAAUAAAUCUGACCUUAGAGCCCAGGAUGGCAGCCACGCAGGGGGCCGCAGCUGACCCAGCCGUCCACUGGGGAACCGACUGGCGUCUGCUCUGGGAACAGACAUCCAAGUCCCACAUUUCUCUCUGGUUACCGUGUCUUGAACGCACGUGACAGUGACGUGAUAUGGCAAGGGACACGCCUACGUGUGGUGCCCGCCCCUGCUUCCUGGCACCCAGCUCCUAACACCCCGGCAUCUCCCCAGGGAUGAGUCUCGUGGGUGCCGACCAGGUGACUGGUGGCUGAGGCUCCCGGGUCCCUCCCUGUGGGCCUGGCUGCCAGGGAGUCGCCAGCUGGUGGGGGAGGGGAGCACAGAGUGAGCAGUCAGGAGGGGGCGGGGCUGUGGGGUGUCAGUCACCCGUGGCCGUCCAGUCAGGCCUGUGUGGUGAGCCCUCCUGGUGGCGGUGCCCCUGCCAGUGCCCCGCCCCCUGCGUCUUUCCCUGCCGCCCGUCUGUGUCCCCUGCUGCAUCCUUUGCAGGAAAUGGACAGACAGGAGCAAAGUGUUCCCCAGAGCCCCGGGAGCUGCCCCGCAAACCAGGGAACCCCAGACCCCCAGCAGAGGGGCCAGGGCAGGGCCAGGCCUGGGGCUGUGAUUGGCAUUUGAGGGGUGGGGUCAGAGUUGGGCUGGGUCAGAGGACGCCCAGCAGGUGCCGCGGGGGAGUGCUGGGUGUCGGGGAGACCCCACAGCUGUGUAGAAGGGUUCUGUGGGGGGGGCUGCCGUCAGGCAUUCAAGGGGUUCAGUCUGAAGGAGCCAAAGCGGCAACACUGGUGAUGUUCUAACCGGCGGAGAGACCCUGGGGACACACAGGACAGUGGGAGUGACACAGGGGCAGUCGCGGUGAUCCCGACACAGGGCUGGAUGGAGCACACACAGCACGGGGAAAUCGCAGGGUGCCGCCGCUGUCCUGUGUCCCCCAGGGUCCCCUCCCGCUGUCCUGUGUCCCCCAUAGUCCUCUCCACUGUCCUGUGUCCCCCAAGGACCUCCUCGAUGUCCCUGUGUACCCCAAGGUCCUCUUA